AAACCGCCUCCAGCCACCUCAGGCAGCAGCUGAUUGCACUUUGCAGCCCAGGGGGAACUCGCCACAGGACUUCUGUUGAAUAUUUUCCUGCCUAUGUUUUGGGGCACAGACAUCAGGACCAGGCUGUUAUGUAAUCCCCCCCCCUCUUCCUCAGCACCUGGAGAGCAUGGAAAUGUAUCAAAUGAGGAUAUUUUCCACUGUGGUGUGUUUCUAUGUGUGUGUCUCAAGCAGUAAUGAUAUUCUACAUUUCCAAUAAUCUUCCUAAGGAUUAAUUGAUGGCAACAUCUCUAAGAUGACAGAAAGAUUCCCCAUCACAGAACUAUUGUGAAACCAAAUUACAAGAGAAAGAUCAGCUUCAUCGUUCAACUGAAGAUGCACUUUGGGUAAUUCAGGAAAUAAGGAAUUCCAUCUAAACACGAGAAGGAACUUUGUUUUGAAGAUGUUAGAGCACUGAAACAAGCUGCCCAGAGAGGUGACAGAUUCUUCAUCUCUGGAGUGAUUAGAAACCCAACUAGAUGCUGCUCCAUGACCCUGCUCUGGAAGCUUGCUUUCAAGGCUCUGAAAACCAAACUUACAUCCAACAUCAGUUGGCCCAGUGUUGUGGAAGUCACUACUCUGAACUUAGACUGGAUUUAGUUUUGUUCACCUCUGCAAAUUUAAGACUGAAUCUAUCCACACAAGCCUGGUUGCCUGUAGUGGUAAAUCUUUUUGUUUGUUUGGGGUUUUUUGUGUGUGUGUGUGUUUGUAACACAGGCAUAUUGGUUAACUUGUAGGUUCAGACCAGGAAUUUCCCAACAUUUAAAUAUUUACCUAUGCUUUCUGCCAGCUUUUACUGGCACCCUUGCAGAAAAUGGGAGUGGCAGUCAAGGCCACCUGUUUAGCACUGCUGUUUUGUGCACCUGCACCUAUAUUUGAUGGGAUCAGAGUUUGCAAUGCACAAGUUAGUUAAAACACCACCAAAAAAACACAUCAAUAGCAUAGAUUGACAAUAACCAGGGAACACGUCAGCUCCUUUUUGAAUGGAACAAUGCAGUUAGGCUACCAAUCACAAAGGUUGUGUGACUAAAGGGAAAAAGUUGCUGCAGAAGAUACAGCCUUGCUUUAAUGCAGUAGAAAACAGAGACGUUAAGAGUAGUGUUGCUCCCAAGGCACAUACGUGCAGUACUCUAUUAGUAGAAGCUGGCAACAGUGUAAAGAGUGCUACAGAAAGUCGACAGGACUGUUAUUCUUGGGUUUGCCUUUUCAGAAUGAAAUCCUAGUGAAACCUGCUUUAGUGACACUUAGAAAUCCAGUAAUUACUAAUGAAACCAGUUACAUAUGUUUUACAUGCAUAGGGCAAAUGAAAGUGACCAGAAAUAUGUAAAACUGCAGGAAAAGCAAUAGAAAGACUGCUUUGACUAGCACAAGACACUGAUUGGAAAAAUAGAAAAACAGGAGAGAAUGUGAAUAGACCAAAGAUCUUAUGAGGAUGUAUUAUCAUAGAAUAUCAGGUUGGAAAGGACCUUGCUGGGCAAAAGCACAGUUUGGACAAGAUGGCUCAAAGUGUCCAUCUGAAUCUUAGAUGUCCAACACUGACAAAUGUACCACUUCCCUGGGGAGAUUACUCCAAUGGCUGACCUCAUUGUGAUAAUGUUUUCUCAUGCUCCAAAACCAAGUUUCCCCAGGAAUAAGUUGUACCCAUUCCCACUUACUGUUUCCGUGCGACUCCUUGUUAAAAGGGAGCCUUCAUCUUCUUUGCAGCCACUCUUUAAACACUGAAACGGUGAUAGCAUCUCCCCUGUGCCAUCUUUUCUCAAGGCUGAAGAAACUCAAUUCUCUCAGCUUUUCCUCAUGUGGCAGGCUUCCCAGCUCUUUAUAUAAACUGUAUUUAUAGUUAUAUUUUAUAGCUGUCAGUCAAGUUUUCUAGGAAAGACCAUGGUGCCAACUAUGUCCACAGUCAGUUGUUAAGAGAUGUGCAUGCAACCUUUCCUAGCAACUGUGCUGUCACUGCUGUAGAUGGUGGUUCAAAAUUCAGUAUGCAUAUUUAAAGAACAGUAAAAAAAACAAACAAAAAACCUCCAUAAAUAUAUUCUUCCUCUCCAGCUCUUAAAAAAACCCUAAAAAUUAAGACACAAAAUAAAUCAGUUUAUGAGGUGGUUUUAUUUGACAUCAGACACCGAUUGCUGCUGGGAAUAUUCUUUGACAAAGGAUUGAUUAUAGAAGAAAUGAAAGAUAGAUCUUGAAAACUAAUGAUAUAUUUAGAAGUCAGCCUUGCCUUAAUUAAGAAUUAGAAGAGUGAGGAUUAUUUCAGUAUCCAUGAAGCAGAGAAGGAAAACUAGCUAUAGUAUGAAUAAAAAAAUAUGUGCCAGCUGCAGUGUGGUCACUAGAUUAUGAGUUUUCUAUUAAAUUGUUUUUAUUAGAUUUCUCUGAAGUAUUCAGUGUUGGAAAGCUCUGAUCCCAUCAGUUUCAAGAAUACAGUGAGGCCAAUACCCUCUUCUUUAGAACUGCAUGCAUGCAAGUUUUCUCUGUGCAUGUUUCUCCCAUUGUUAGGAAAGCUCAGGCUUUAUCUCAAGGUCUCAUGACAGAAGAGUUUGUGGCUCUACCCAGUUUGUAAAUAUUUUACAGCAAAAGUACUGCCACCACCAACAGAAAGCCUCCACUUGUGCUAUUG